CCACUCUCGGUGCGUCUCAUCUGGACUACCCUGCGUCAUCGUCUGGAUUCCCGGAAGGGAUGAACGUGUUGCUUCCUUACUGGACGCUGCUGAGGUGGGGCUCAGACGAGCGCAGCUGUAAUGCAUGCAUGUCGGGAAUCUUACAAGCGGAAGAAAUAUGCUUGAGAAGAAAUUGAAAGGGGCUUUUUUUAGUUCAUGGUCAGCAAUGCCAGCUCGACAAGUUGACUCACCUGGCAGAAUAAACAUCUUUGGAGAUC